AAAACAAGGAUGAACGCUAGCGGCAGGCUUAAUACAUGCAAGUCGAACGGGAUUCGGAGUAGCAAUACUUUGAUGAGAGUGGCGCACGGGUGCGUAACGCGUAUGCAACCUACCUUUAACAGGGGAAUAGCCCCGAGAAAUCGGGAUUAAUACUCCGUAACAUUGCGGUGUGGCAUCACACUGCAAUUAAAGAUUUAUCGGUUAAAGAUGGGCAUGCGUGACAUUAGCUUGUUGGUGAGGUAACGGCUCACCAAGGCAACGAUGUCUAGGGGUCCUGAGAGGGUUAUCCCCCACACUGGUACUGAGACACGGACCAGACUCCUACGGGAGGCAGCAGUAAGGAAUAUUGGUCAAUGGGCGCAAGCCUGAACCAGCCAUGCCGCGUGCAGGAAGACGGCCCUAUGGGUUGUAAACUGCUUUUAUCAGGGAAUAAACCCCCGCUCGUGAGCGGGGCUGAAGGUACCUGAAGAAUAAGCAUCGGCUAACUCCGUGCCAA
rnacentral:rRNA from 1 species